UGAGGAAUAUUGGUCAAUGGGCGGGAGCCUGAACCAGCCAAGCCGCGUGAAGGAAGAAGGCGCUAAGCGUCGUAAACUUCUUUUGUCGGGGAACAAAGGUCCGGACGUGUCCGGAUGAGAGUGUACCCGAAGAAAAAGCAUCGGCUAACUCCGUGCCAGCAGCCGCGGUAAUACGGAGGAUGCGAGCGUUAUCCGGAUUUAUUGGGUUUAAAGGGUGCGUAGGCGGUCUGUUAAGUCAGCGGUAAAAGCCCGGGGCUCAACCCUGGCGAGCCGUUGAAACUGGCGGACUAGAGAGGGCGAGAAGUACGCGGAAUGCGCAGUGUAGCGGUGAAAUGCAUAGAUAUUGCGCAGAACUCCGAUUGCGAAGGCAGCGUACCGGCGCCUUUCUGACGCUGAGGCACGAAAGCGUGGGUAUCGAACAGGAUUAGAUACC
rnacentral:rRNA from 1 species